AUGUUUUCUUAAAGUCCACAAACGCUCUACAUUUAUUCACUCUGUGAUAGGGUUGGAUCCUAUAUGCUACUUUUAUUAUUGUCAUGUAAAUGGUUCAGUGCCUAUAAUUUAGGCUGUGUGUAGAAUGGGGCAUGAAGGAAAUGACCUCUACUAAUAAAUUACUACUAGAUUAUAGUGAUAAGGAAAACAGCAUACACAUUUGGCUUGUGUAUUCAUUUGCCUAAAACUAAUCACAAUUCCAUUAUGUUUACAUAAAACAGAGAAUACUUCAAAAUGAGAAGAUCCUGCCAUGGAAAAGACGACUGGGUGGACAUAAAGUGGAAAGGAGGGGAAAUAACUCCCACCAUGCAGCAGGACACCUUCAGCUGGGGUCUUUAUAAUACAGUUGCACAGAACUUCCCCAACAUCCUCUCCCAAAUUGAUAUAGAACCUUCAAAAACACAUGGAGCAACUGUGAAAAGAAAUGGCUGAGGAUGUACUAAAAAUGUCUGAGUUCAACAAAGCCAACAACUGCUUCAUGUGUGCCACUGAUAAAGAACCUGGAUGUGGCCCAAAGACUGACUGGGAAUGAAGACAAAAGAGUUCAACAGAGUAAAGAACACAAACUGGAAGUACAGUCUUUGUUGUUGAUAAUGUAUACUAUACCCCAUGCACACUGAAGAGGCUCUGAAAUGUACAUCAACCAGGGAUAAAGAGAAAGUUAACUGAAAUGUUUCAUACUUAAUUGAAGUUGUGUCUGUUUGACAUGUUGGAAAGAUUAAAGGUC
ensembl:lncRNA